AGUGAACGCUGGCGGUAGGCCUAACACAUGCCAGUCGAACGGCAGCACAGUAAGAGCUUGCUCUUACGGGUGGCGAGUGGCGGACGGGUGAGGAAUACAUCGGAAUCUACUUUUUCGUGGGAGAUAACGUAGGGAAACUUACGCUAAUACCGCAUACGACCUACGGGUGAAAGCAGGGGAUCUUCGGACCUUGCGCGAUUGAAUGAGCCGAUGUCGGAUUAGCUAGUUGGCGGGGUAAAGGCCCACCAAGGCGACGAUCCGUAGCUGGUCUGAGAGGAUGAUCAGCCACACUGGAACUGAGACACGGUCCAGACUCCUACGGGAGGCAGCAGUGGGGAAUAUUGGACAAUGGGCGCAAGCCUGAUCCAGCCAUACCGCGUGGGUGAAGAAGGCCUUCGGGUUGUAAAGCCCUUUUGUUGGGAAAGAAAAGCAGCAGGUUAAUACCCCGCUGUUCUGACGGUACCCAAAGAAUAAGCACCGGCUAACUUCGUG
rnacentral:rRNA from 1 species